CCCGAAACCCGGUGAUCUAGCCAUGGGCAGGUUGAAGGUUGGGUAACACUAACUGGAGGACCGAACCGACUAAUGUUGAAAAAUUAGCGGAUGACCUGUGGCUGGGGGUGAAAGGCCAAUCAAACCG
rnacentral:rRNA from 1 species